rnacentral:rRNA from 1 species
UACGAAGGGGGCUAGCGUUGUUCGGAAUGACUGGGCGUAAAGGGCGCGUAGGCGGUUUUAUAAGUCAGAUGUGAAAGACCUGGGCUCAACCUGGGAAGUGCAUUUGAAACUGUAGGACUGGAGGACGAGAGAGGAACGUGGAAUUGCGAGUGUAGAGGUGAAAUUCGUAGAUAUUCGCAAGAACACCGAUGGCGAAGGCAGCGUUCUGGCUCGUAUCUGACGCUAAGGCGCGAAAGCGUGGGGAGCAAACAGG